rnacentral:rRNA from 1 species
GACGAACCGUGCGAACGUUGUUCGGAAUCACUGGGCUUAAAGGGCGCGUAGGCGGGUCGAAAAGUCCGUGGUGAAAUCCCCCCGCUCAACGGGGGAACGGCCGCGGAUACUGUCGGCCUCGAGGGGGGUAGGGGCGAGCGGAACGCUGGGUGGAGCGGUGAAAUGCGUUGAUAUCCAGCGGAACUCCGGUGGCGAAGGCGGCUCGCUAGGCCCUCUCUGACGCUGAGGCGCGAAAGCCAGGGGAGCGAACGGG